UAAGCAGAGAUUGUGUGUAUCGGAAUUUUGCUUAUUUCUUGCAAUUUAAUCCGAAAGAUUUCUCUGCGAGAUUGAUUUUGGUGAAGGUGGGCAGUUGAGUUUCAUAAUAAUCUAUUGAUUCAAUCAACAAUCAUUUUCUCCAUAUUU